AUGAACGCUGGCCGCGUGCCUAAUACAUGCCAGUCGAGCGAACAGACGAGGAGUUUGCUCUGCUUUCGUUAGCGGCGGACGGGUGAGUACCACGUGGAUAGCCUACCUAUAAGACUUGAAUAACUUCGAGGAACCGUAGUUAAUCCCGGAUAAUAUAUUGAACCGCGUGGUUCAAUAGUGAAAGACGGUUUUGCUGUCACUUAUAUCUGAAUCCGCGCCGCAUUAGCUAGUUGGUAAGGUAACGGCUUACCAAGGCCACGAUGCGUAGCCGACCUGAGAGGGUGAUCGGCCACACUGGAACUGAGACACGGUCCAGACUCCUACGGGAGGCAGCAGUAGGGAAUCUUCCGCAAUGGGCGAAAGCCUGACGGAGCAACGCCGCGUGAGUGAUGAAGGUCUUCGGAUCGUAAAACUCUGUUAUUAGGGAAGAACAAAUGUGUAAGUAACUAUGCACGUCUUGACGGUACCUAAUCAGAAAGCAACGGCUAACUACGUG
rnacentral:rRNA from 1 species